UGGGUCUCAUUGGGGUCUAAGCAUGACGCGGGAUUGUGGAUUUUUUGUAAGCGUGACACGUGAAAGUCAAAUUAUUGUGUCGUGAAAACGGGAAAUGAGGUCUUGCGGGACCCGGGAAAUGACAAAAAAAUGAGAAUUGCUUACGUAUAUAGUGUAAGCAGGAUACGGGAAUCUGACAAAACAGUAAGCGGCAUACGGGAAUCUGACAAAACAGUAAGCGGGAUACAGGAAUCUGACAAAACAGUAAGCGGGAUCCGGGAUCGGAACCCCCCAAUGAGAUCCC
rnacentral:lncRNA from 1 species